rnacentral:rRNA from 1 species
UACAGAGGGGGCAAGCGUUAUUCGGAAUUAUUGGGCGUAAAGGGCGCGUAGGCGGCUUUUCAAGUGACGGGUGAAAUCCCUCGGCUUAACCGAGGAACUGCCUGUCAGACUGGAAGGCUUGAGACCGGGAGAGGUGAGUGGAAUUCCCAGUGUAGCAGUGAAAUGCGUAGAUAUUGGGAGGAACACCAGUGGCGAAGGCGGCUCACUGGACCGGAACUGACGCUGAGGCGCGAAAGCGUGGGGAGCAAACAGG